rnacentral:rRNA from 1 species
AGUGAACGCUGGCGGUAGGCCUAACACAUGCAAGUCGAACGGCAGCACAGUAAGAGCUUGCUCUUACGGGUGGCGAGUGGCGGACGGGUGAGGAAUACAUCGGAAUCUACUUUUUCGUGGGGGAUAACGUAGGGAAACUUACGCUAAUACCGCAUACGACCUACGGGUGAAAGCAGGGGAUCUUCGGACCUUGCGCGAGUGAAUGAGCCGAUGUCGGAUUAGCUAGGUGGCGGGGUAAAGGCCCACCAAGGCGACGAUCCGUAGCUGGUCUGAGAGGAUGAUCAGCCACACUGGAACUGAGACACGGUCCAGACUCCUACGGGAGGCAGCAGUGGGGAAUAUUGGACAAUGGGCGCAAGCCUGAUCCAGCCAUGCCGCGUGCGUGAAGAAGGCCUUCGGGUUGUAAAGCCCUUUUGUUGGGAAAGAAAAGCAGCAGGUUAAUACCCCGCUGUUAUGACGGUACCCAAAGAAUAAGCACCGGCUAACUUCGUG